CCCAGACUCCUACGGGAGGCAGCAGUGGGGGAUAUUGCACAAUGGGGGAAACCCUGAUGCAGCGACGCCGCGUGAGUGAAGAAGUAUUUCGGUAUGUAAAGCUCUAUCGGCAGGGAAGAAAAAGCGCGCGAGCGCCCUUGACAGUACCUGGCUAAGAAGCCCCGGCUAACUACGUGCCAGCAGCCGCGGUAAUACGUAGGGGGCAAGCGUUAUCCGGAUUUACUGGGUGUAAAGGGGGCGCAGACGGCGAUGCAAGCCAGGAGUGAAAGCCCGGGGCUCAACCCCGGGACUGCAUUUGAAACUGUCAGGCUGGAGUGCAGGAGAGGUAAGUGGAAUUCCUAGUGUAGCGGUGAAAUGCGUAGAUAUUAGGAGGAACACCAGUGGCGAAGGCGGCUUGCUGGACUGUAACUGACGUUGAGGCUCGAAAGCGUGGGGAGCAAACAGGAUUAGAUACCCCCGUAA
rnacentral:rRNA from 1 species